rnacentral:lncRNA from 1 species
CUUACAUAAUACAUAACAGCAUAAGUUGUAGAGAAAUAAUUAUGGAUGUUAUUAACAUUGGUACUUUUGAGUUUCAAAACAACCUGUUAUAAGAAUGUUCGGAAAAAUAUGCUAUUCAUCCAAGGAGGUUUAUUUUAAAUGAAUCGGGUUAUAUUUGGUGCAUGCAUAGAACUCCAUAAUUCCAUGAAAUCACAAGUAAAUUCAGUUUUAUUGAGACCAUGGUAAAGGGAGCAAUUCAAAUACCAAUCAAACAAAUCCAAAAAAAAAAAAAAACAUAUACUGUCCAAUCAAGAUAUAAAAAUUAGAGAUCUUAGUCCAUUUGAAAUGUGGCCUUUUGGUCUCACCCCUCUUUUAAAAAAAUUUCUGCCCUUCUAUCUCCUGUAGAGAGGAGUCAGGAUGAAAACUGGAAACAUACAAAUAAAGAAUUGGAUACUGUAGAAGUACAGAAAACAAGCAGGUGUCACAUUUGGUCUUCAGGCAACAUCAAAUAUUCUCUUCUCUUCCUGCCUGGUUGGAAGAUGGUGGGGUCCAAGACCAAGAGCGAACCUGCAUGCCGAGGCAUAUUGCACAGGAUUAAAAGAAGAGGCAGGAAAUAAAGGAAAUGAGUCCUAAAGCGUGGUCUCUAAAGCCUUCUGUUUUAAGUCUCAUAUAACUUGUCUGCUUAUUUAUUAUCAAUGGUUCUUAACUUUGAGGGGAGAGGAGUGGUCAUGGAUUUCUUUGAGAAUCUAAUGAAAGCUAUG